rnacentral:rRNA from 1 species
CCUAACACAUGCAAGUCGAGCGGUAACAGGAAUUAGCUUGCUAAUUCGCUGACGAGCGGCGGACGGGUGAGUAAUGCCUGGGAAUAUGCCUUAGUGUGGGGGAUAACUAUUGGAAACGAUAGCUAAUACCGCAUAAUGUCCUUGUUCAUUACGAGCGGGACCAAGAGGGGGACCUUCGGGCCUCUCGCGCUAAGAUUAGCCCAGGUGGGAUUAGCUAGUUGGUGAGGUAAAGGCUCACCAAGGCAACGAUCCCUAGCUGGUCUGAGAGGAUGAUCAGCCACACUGGAACUGAGACACGGUCCAGACUCCUACGGGAGGCAGCAGUGGGGAAUAUUGCACAAUGGGGGGAACCCUGAUGCAGCCAUGCCGCGUGUAUGAAGAAGGCCUUCGGGUUGUAAAGUACUUUCAGUCGUGAGGAAGGCAUUGUAGUUAAUAGCUGCAGUGCUUGACGUUAGCGACAGAAGAAGCACCGGCUAACUCCGUG